rnacentral:rRNA from 1 species
GAUACCCUGGUAGUCCACGCCGUAAACGAUGCUAACUCGUUUUUGGGGCCUUGCGCUUCAGAGACUAAGCGAAAGUGAUAAGUUAGCCACCUGGGGAGUACGUUCGCAAGAAUGAAACUCAAAGGAAUUGACGGGGGCCCGCACAAGCGGUGGAUUAUGUGGUUUAAUUCGAUGAUACGCGAGGAACCUUACCAAGACUUAAAUGGGAAAUGACAGAUUUAGAAAUAGAUCCUUCUUCGGACAUUUUUCAAGGUGCUGCAUGGUUGUCGUCAGCUCGUGCCGUGAGGUGUUAGGUUAAGUCCUGCAACGAGCGCAACCCCUGUCACUAGUUGCUAACAUUCAGUUGAGGACUCUAGUGAGACUGCCUACGCAAGUAGAGAGGAAGGUGGGGAUGACGUCAAAUCAUCACGGCCCUUACGUCUUGGGCCACACACGUAAUACAAUGGCCGGUACAGAGGGCAGCUACACAGCGAUGUGAUGCAAAUCUCGAAAGCCGGUCUCAGUUCGGAUUGGAGUCUGCAACUCGACUCUAUGAAGCUGGAAUCGCUAGUAAUCGCGCAUCAGCCAUGGCGCGGUGAAUACGUUCCCGGGCCUUGUACACACCGCCCGUCAAGCCAUGGAAGUCUGGGGUACCUGAAGUCGGUGACCGUAACAGGAGCUGCCUAGGGUAAAACAGGUAACUAGGGCUAAGUCGUAACNAAGGUA